GACAGAGGGGGGCAAGCGUUGCUCGGAAUUACUGGGCGUAAAGGGCGCGUAGGCGGGAUGGCAAGUCGGUCGUGAAAUCCCUCGGCUCAACCGAGGAACGUCGAUCGAUACUGCUGUUCUUUGAGGAUUGCAGAGGAGACUGGAAUUCCCGGUGUAGCGGUGAAAUGUGUAGAGAUCGGGAGGAACACCGGUGGCGAAGGCGGGUCUCUGGGCAAUUCCUGACGCUGAGGCGCGAAAGCGUGGGGAGCAAACGGGG
rnacentral:rRNA from 1 species